AUUGAACGCUGGCGGCAUGCUUUACACAUGCAAGUCGAACGGUAACAGGCCUUCGGGUGCUGACGAGUGGCGAACGGGUGAGUAAUGCAUCGGAACGUGCCCAGAGGUGGGGGAUAACGCAGCGAAAGCUGUGCUAAUACCGCAUGUGAUCUGAGGAUGAAAGCGGGGGACCAGGCAGCAAUGUUUGGCCUCGCGCCUUUGGAGCGGCCGAUGUCAGAUUAGGUAGUUGGUGGGGUAAAGGCCUACCAAGCCGACGAUCUGUAGCUGGUCUGAGAGGACGACCAGCCACACUGGGACUGAGACACGGCCCAGACUCCUACGGGAGGCAGCAGUGGGGAAUUUUGGACAAUGGGCGCAAGCCUGAUCCAGCAAUGCCGCGUGCGGGAAGAAGGCCUUCGGGUUGUAAACCGCUUUUGUACGGAACGAAUAGGCUCUGGCUAAUACCUGGGGCUGAUGACGGUACCGUAAGAAUAAGCACCGGCUAACUACGUG
rnacentral:rRNA from 1 species